UACGAAGGGGGCUAGCGUUGUUCGGAAUUACUGGGCGUAAAGCGCACGUAGGCGGAUUUGUAAGUCAGGGGUGAAAUCCCGGGGCUCAACCUCGGAACUGCCUUUGAUACUGCAAGUCUUGAGUCCGAUAGAGGUGAGUGGAAUUCCUAGUGUAGAGGUGAAAUUCGUAGAUAUUAGGAAGAACACCAGUGGCGAAGGCGGCUCACUGGAUCGGUACUGACGCUGAGGUGCGAAAGCCAGGGGAGCAAACGGG
rnacentral:rRNA from 1 species